rnacentral:rRNA from 1 species
UACGGAGGGUGCGAGCGUUGUCCGGAAUCAUUGGGCGUAAAGGGCGCGUAGGUGGCCCAGUAAGCGUGCGGUGAAGACUCGGGGCUCAACCCCGGGUCGCCGUGCGAACUACUGGGCUGGAGCACUGUAGAGGCAGGCGGAAUUCCGGGUGUAGCGGUGGAAUGCGUAGAGAUCCGGAAGAACACCGGUGGCGAAGGCGGCCUGCUGGGCAGUUGCUGGACACUGAGGCGCGACAGCGUGGGGAGCAAACAGG